CGCAGGGUGGAGCAGUUCGGAGUGCUCGCGGGUUUCAUGAGCCCGAGGCCGUGGGUUCAAAUCCCACCCCUGCCA
rnacentral:tRNA from 1 species